rnacentral:rRNA from 1 species
AUUGAACGCUGGCGGCAGGCCUAACACAUGCAAGUCGAGCGGCAGCGGGAAAGUAGCUUGCUACUUUUGCCGGCGAGCGGCGGACGGGUGAGUAAUGCCUGGGAAAUUGCCCAGUCGAGGGGGAUAACAGUUGGAAACGACUGCUAAUACCGCAUACGCCCUACGGGGGAAAGCAGGGGACCUUCGGGCCUUGCGCGAUUGGAUAUGCCCAGGUGGGAUUAGCUAGUUGGUGAGGUAAUGGCUCACCAAGGCGACGAUCCCUAGCUGGUCUGAGAGGAUGAUCAGCCACACUGGAACUGAGACACGGUCCAGACUCCUACGGGAGGCAGCAGUGGGGAAUAUUGCACAAUGGGGGAAACCCUGAUGCAGCCAUGCCGCGUGUGUGAAGAAGGCCUUCGGGUUGUAAAGCACUUUCAGCGAGGAGGAAAGGUUGAUGCCUAAUACGUAUCAACUGUGACGUUACUCGCAGAAGAAGCACCGGCUAACUCCGUGCCAGCAGCCGCAGUAAUAC